GCGUGCGCAGCGUAGCCUUUGUCAUCUACUAAACCACUGGCCAUGUUCGAGAGCAUGAAAUCCAUGCUGAAUUGUGGGUAAAUGGUUACUGGCUUAUAAAUAAUAAUGAGUAGUUAUUUAUGAUGUAUAGUGAUUUGUAGAUCAGUCAGUUGGCAGUCGCCUGCAGUGUCGAACAAGCCCAAUACCAAACCAAUCAGGUGGUUGUUCGAUGAAAUUCAUCUCCAGAAGUCAUUGAUGACGUGCUGCUGAUAAAGUGAUACAGGCAUUAACACUGCUUUGAAGUUUACUGCUUAGCGAUUUGGACGCAUGCCUCGUAGCUCAGGUAUCAAACGUAACAUCCUACCGAAAAGUUGACCAAACAAAAAGGAGCAAGCAGGUAACCAGAUCUUCAAUACAACUAAGUUACUAAGGCUUCAACCACACUGUUUUGUUACACUGCCUUCCUCUCCUCUGAAGACCCAGUGAGGGUGGAGCUCAGUCAGAAAGCUGUUGAGGGACUGGUUGGGAAGAACACCUCUACAGCCAGAGAGGGGCAGUCAAGAAAUGGAACGGCAAGGCCACAGAACAUGACAUAAGCAGAUCUGUGGGAGACCACCUCAAGCCCCUGGUAGAGCCGGGGGUGGUGUUUACCACUCCACCACACCUUCAGCAGGCUGGAAAAGUGGGAUUGAUCCAUUUGUUUGCUUCUGUUUUCAGUAGUUGAAUCCUUUGACGUAUUGUUGAUUUCAACAUUUUUCAUCUUCAACAAAUGCACUGAAUUUAUACUGUUUUUCAUACUAAGAUGGAGCAAGAAUCUGUUGAUUGGUUGGUCAUUUAUUUUGCAAUAUGUUCAAACCAAGCUUUAAUUAAACAGCACAUUUCAGACAUGGAUGCAAUGCAAUUCACAGAAAAAAAACAUACACAGCAAACAGAAGAAUAACAACUGAAAGACUAAUGAACAUUUCAAGGAAUUGCCUUUGAUUAACAAGAACUGGAUGCUAAAACUCAAAAUAUAAGCUUGUUUUACUACAUUGUUUGUUGUUACGUUCCCCAGCAAGAAAAUGUCCCUUUAAUAGAAGAGGGAACUAACAAAGAGUCACUGACAACAACCACAACUAAACAGGUGGGUUUUAGGAGGGGUUCUGAAUGACACUAUGGGAGUGUCCACUGGUAGUUGACUAGUAACAACUGGGACCUAAAAGACACCCACCAUGAGACACACUAAAUCUGCCCAAGAAGAGGCAAACAAAAGAAAAACCCACAACAAACUUAAAGACAGGAAGCAAACCAAAAAGGUGUUAACUCUCCACAUUUAUCAAGACAACUGGAGUACUGGGCCAGACACUCUUAAAUAGAACCUGGACCAGUUCAGUGAAACACCUUCCCACUAACCAGAUGGACAAGCCAGCACAGGUGUAACACAUACUGAUACCAAUAUGUGCACCCAAUACACAUUUCAGUUGAAUGCAUUCAGUUGUACAAUCAAUCAAUCAAAUGUAUUUAUAA